GUGCUCGCUUUGGCAGUACAUAUACUAAAAUUGGAACGAUACAGAAAAGAUUUGCUUAAGGAUGACACACAAAUUCAUGAAGCGUUCCAUAUUUUU
rnacentral:snRNA from 1 species